rnacentral:lncRNA from 1 species
GUCCAGACUGGGAGGAGGGAAGAGCAAAAUCAGGAACGUGUCACCUGGGGUGCCAGCCAUGUUCCGUGACACAGUCACUUUCAUCUGACUGCCCUCGAACCUUCUGAGCUGGAAGAGGCAAUUCCAAGGUGCCCUAAAGACCGCCAACGACUCUGCAGGCCCACAGAUCAAGUCUGAACAACCCAGCAGUGGCAAACAGCCUUCUCCAGCCUGCCUCCUGGCCUGCCGCAUCGGCGCUCUCCAUUGUUCUGUCCCAGGAACCCCGUCAGGAACCUGUGCAGAUGGCGAGGCCACAAAAACCCCACUUAGUCAUUCAACAAAUGGGCCCCAGUGGCAAGCUGGAGAUAGAAGCCUGAGAGGAAGAGACCUAUGGCUUGCCCGUUCUCCAACCUGGUGUCGGAUAUAGCAGAAGCUUACACACAGCCUGCCUGCUGCAACCAGGCAGAGUGCAUGGGGGCACUGAGGAGGAAGUCACUGGCAGAAGACACAGAGAGCAUUUUCAACCCAGGGGUACAAGCAGAGCUGGAUGGACUUCAAACUGGAGUUUUACUGAAGGAGACCAUGGAAGGGUACCGGGGCAAAGAGCCUAAGGACAUGAACAAGAAGGCAAUUCAGCCCAUUGGUACAUUUAGGGAUACAGUACAGUUACAUUCAUUGUUGGGAUCAUGUACCUUUACAUGGCAAGUCUUGAUUCUCAUUUUUUUCCCCUUACCUCUGCCCUCCCUUCACCCCCUCCUCCCCUCCCCAUCUACAAACACUUUAUUUUCAUCUUUUCAUUCUCUCACAUUUUUUUCUUUUCCCUUUUUGUUCUUCCCCUACGUAUCACCCCUUCCCUACACCUUUAGCUCCUUUCCUCCCAUUUCUAAAUGUCAGUAA